rnacentral:rRNA from 1 species
GUAGCGGCGAGCGAACGGGGAGGAGCCCAGAGCCUGAAUCAGCAUGUGUGUUAGUGGAAGCGUCUGGAAAGGCGCGCGAUACAGGGUGACAGCCCCGUACACAAAAGCGCAUGUGCUGUGAGCUCGAUGAGUAGGGCGGGACACGUGGUAUCCUGUCUGAAUAUGGGGGGACCAUCCUCCAAGGCUAAAUACUCCUGACUGACCGAUAGUGAACCAGUACCGUGAGGGAAAGGCGAAAAGAACCCCGGCGAGGGGAGUGAAAAAGAACCUGAAACCGUGUACGUACAAGCAGUGGGAGCCCCACCACUAAGCCAGUGGUGAACUCCACAUACGCAUCCUUUGCUGAGGAUACGGUUAACGGAGCGAAAGCGACGUUCAACCUCAAAAGAAGCAGAGGGGGCUUAGUGGUGGGGUGACUGCGUACCUUUUGUAU